rnacentral:tRNA from 1 species
GCCUGGGGGGCUCAGUCGGUGAAGCGUCUGACUUCGGCUCAGGUCACGAUCUCGCGGUUCGUGGGUUCAAGCCCCCACGUCGGGCU